GCAGGACCCAACACAGACCCAGCAAGGCUUCUACAAACAGCACGCUGAAUCCCCGGAACCACCCUAUGAGGACAGCACUGACGUCAGUGCCACUCUACACCCCACUGAAGUUUCUUCUUUACAAUUCUGAAGCCCAUCCCACACCUGACAACACAUCUUCCUUUCCAGAAACAUCCUGCCUUUCAGGCUGGUGUUACCGGUAACAACUGUGUCCUCGGCACUGACGUACAGGGGACACAGGUUCGAGCGCUGGUCCGGGAAGAUCCCACAUGCCACGGAGCAACUAAGCCCAUGCGCCACAACUACUGAGCCCACGUGCCACAACUACUGAAGCCCGCGUGCCUAGAGCCCGUGUUCCGCAACAAGAGGAGCCACCGCGAUGAGAAGCCCGUGCACUGCAACGAAGAGUAGCCCACACUCGCCUCAACCAAAGAAAGCCCGCGCGCAGCAAUGAAGA